AUACGGAGGAUCCGAGCGUUAUCCGGAUUUAUUGGGUUUAAAGGGUGCGUAGGUGGAUUGGUCAGUCAGUGGUGAAAGUUUGCAGCUUAACUGUAAAAUUGCCGUUGAAACUGCCGGUCUUGAGUGCAAAUGAGGUAAGCGGAAUGUGUUGUGUAGCGGUGAAAUGCUUAGAUAUGACACAGAACACCGAUUGCGAAGGCAGCUUACUGGGAUGCAACUGACACUGAGGCACGAAGGCGUGGGGAUCAAACAGGAUUAGAUACCCUGGUAGUCCACGCAGUAAACGAUGAAUACUAGUUGUCUGCGAUAUAUUGUAGGUGACACAGCGAAAGCGUUAAGUAUUCCACCUGGGGAGUACGUUCGCAAGAAUGAAACUCAAAGGAAUUGACGGGG
rnacentral:rRNA from 1 species